rnacentral:rRNA from 1 species
CACCGCGGUCAUACGAUUAACCCGAACUAAUAGGCCCACGGCGUAAAGCGUGUUUAAGAUAACAUAUUACUAAAGUUAAAACUUAACUAAGCCGUAAAAAGCUACAGUUACCAUAAAAUAUACUACGAAAGUGACUUUAAAAUUUUCUGAUUACACGAUAGCUAAGACC